CUCAUGUUUAAAAUAGGCCGACCAAGAGCAAAAUAGAAGACAACAAUUUCUCAAAGGAGGUUCAAAACUAAUGCCUACAAGAUUACCAAGAGGAUGGUUCGGGGCUCUUACAUGACUCCGGGAAGUCAACACUUGGUGGAUGAGAUCCUUCACAGCAUGUUGUUUCUGGGCAAAAUCAACAACAUCCCCUUUUCUCCAGAAGAAAUCUUCCCUAAUCCUU